CUGUCAAUCCUUCUACUGUAGGUAGGUAUACCGUAUAUUAUCUACAAAUACAGAAUGUUAUAGAAACUCGAUUGGCCGUUCGGAUUUCAGCUUCUCGGGAUUUUCAAGCCUAUAAUAAAGUCUUAAUAUUUCCCGCGAACGUCGUAUACCUGGAUGACCGACGACGUGACGUUCAAAACAUUACGGUAUACGUACGUUUUAUAUUUUAUUGCUUUUCAUCUGGAAAUUGGUAUACGGUCGAACGCAAUAUUAUUGUAACGCAUUAUAUAAACUUGAAAAACCUAUCGGCCAACCGGUCAUAUUAUUAUUAUCUCUGUUCUCACACUGCGUACGUGACCUAAAAAUUGUUUAUUAAUGUAUUCAAGUUAUAGAAAACUGAACCGUCAUAAUAACUUCUCAAACGCGUCUUGUUUGCUAUAAUAGCACACCGCGAUAUAGGUAUGUAUAUAAUAUCAACUAAAUGUUUAACAAUGUUUUUCUCGGUGAAAAUAAAUUGAAAUGUAUUAGAUUCAAUGUAAGUUAAAUAUAGUUGUU